rnacentral:rRNA from 1 species
UACACUCCUACGGGAGGCAGCAGUGGGGAAUUUUGGACAAUGGGCGAAAGCCUGAUCCAGCAAUGCCGCGUGUGUGAAGAAGGCCUUCGGGUUGUAAAGCACUUUUGUCCGGAAAGAAAUCCUUGGCUCUAAUACAGUCGGGGGAUGACGGUACCGGAAGAAUAAGCACCGGCUAACUACGUGCCAGCAGCCGCGGUAAUACGUAGGGUGCGAGCGUUAAUCGGAAUUACUGGGCGUAAAGCGUGCGCAGGCGGUUUGCUAAGACCGAUGUGAAAUCCCCGGGCUCAACCUGGGAACUGCAUUGGUGACUGGCAGGCUAGAGUAUGGCAGAGGGGGGUAGAAUUCCACGUGUAGCAGUGAAAUGCGUAGAGAUGUGGAGGAAUACCGAUGGCGAAGGCAGCCCCCUGGGCCAAUACUGACGCUCAUGCACGAAAGCGUGGGGAGCAAACAGGAUUAGAUACCCCUGUAGUCCCAUGAU